ensembl:lncRNA
UUUUUUUUUUUUUUUUCUUUUUGCUUGGUUUGUUUUUUGUUUUUGUUUUGUUUUGUUUUGUUUUUGAGGCAGGGUCUCUCUACAUAGCUCUGGCUGUCCUGGAACUCACACUGUAGACCAGGCUGCCCUCUAACUCCUCAGACAUCCACCCGCCUCUGAGUGCUGGUAUUAAAGGCAUUGCGCCACGCUACCAUACCUGGCACUGUUUGGAUGCGAUCUUAACCCCCAGUAGUUAAAGGUUUUUCUUUUUUACCUUCACUCCAUGGAAGCGUGCAGCUCAUUGGCCUCCCUUCCCCUACCAUCUCUUUUGUAUGUGGAAAGAUGUAUUUUUGUACCUUAUGUCAUGCCUUAUCUUCAGGGCUGUGUCCAACUCCCCCUUAGCGGAAUAACAUGAUAAACCUUUUGAUGGCAGCUACUGUGGCUCUAUUAUAAUGAAGGGGCAGGGGCAGGCGAUAUGGCUCAGUGGGGAAAGGUACUUGCCACCAAGCCUGAGUUUGAUUCCUGGGACCAACAUUGUGAAAGAAGACAGACCACUCCCACAGGGUUUCCUCUAACCUCUACACACGGGCCAUGGCUUCCCACCCCUCGGCCUCAAUAAAUACGUAGAUACUUUUUUGUUUUUAAAUGAAAAGAAGAUAGAGUAAGAAUUUUAACGGUCUCAAAGUCAGUGUUAAUUCCCUGGUGGUCCUUUCUCACGUUAAAUACUUGCUUUACCAAGGACAGGAGUGAGGUUAUAUUGGCUGCCCCUGAAGUGCACUGGGCUUAACUUAGGGUAUUGGGGUUAGCGAUUUUUGCUGGCGGUGUUUUAUUUUAUGUAUAUGGGUGUUUUGUCCACUUGUAUGUCUGUGUACCACGUAUGUGCCUGGUGCCUGCAGAGGGGAGAAGAGGGUGUCAGAUCCAUUGGAAUUCAGAGUGACAGUUGUCAACUGCCUUGUGGAUGCUGGAAAUCAAGCCCAGGUUCUUUGGAAGAGCAGCCAGUGCUCUGACCACUGAGCAGUCUCUCCAGCCCUGUGGUUUUGGGUUUUUGAGAUGGUAUCUCUUGUAUUCCUGGCUGGCCUCAAACAGGCUAUGUGGCAGAGAAUGACCUUAAACUCCCGAUACUGAUCCUUCUGGAUGCUAGGAUUAGAGACAGGUGCCACCAACAUAUCUGCUUUGUGCAGUGCUGGGAAUGGAACCCAGGGCCUCCUACAUAUUAUGUAAGCAUUCUACCAAAUUAGCCUGGUCCUGGCUUGUGGUCAGUCUUUAUAUAGUGGUUUCUUCCCUGUUCUGGUCAGGAGGCUGUUGGUAUAGCACACAGGCACCUUUUCCAGACUCACUUUCCAUUGCUGCUAGCAGCUCCCACCCCCUUUGGGUCCUUUGUUGAGGCUUGUCCCUCUUUUUCCUGGCAAUAAGUGUGGGAAAGAAUGUCCUCACUGCUGGCCUUGUGAAUCAUGAUGGGGUCUUCUAUUCAUAAAAGUGACCCAGGGACAACCCAAAGAGGCAACCUGGGAAGGAAGUUGGGGAUAAGUGGCCAGGUCUGCAUGUCUUUCCUAGGUGCCUAGCGAGAGCCUCCAACAGAAGUUUGGGCGUUGUUAUAUGGCCCUGGAACACUCCCGGGACUAGCUCUGCUUGCUCACAUGGUCCUGCCACUCUGGCCUGCUCACAGAUGGCUGGGAAAUAGUAUGACCAGGAAGCCCGAUGUCCUUGCAAACCCAGAACUCAGUCUAGAGAUAGACAGGAAGGUGCUACGUUCGAAGCCAUCCUGGUCUGCACGCAAGACCCUGUCUCAGCAAACAAACCCAGCUUGUUCAAGAGUCAGUACAGGGGUUGGGGAUUUAGCUCAGCGGUAGAGCGCUUGCCUAGCAAGCGCAAGGCCCUAGAUUCGAUCCCCAGCUCCGGACAAAAAAAAAAAAAAAAAAAUCAAAUCUAACAGAGCAGGCUCUACGUCUCAUGGUUGGUGGGCAGCCUAAAGGACUUCCUUUCACCACCCCUGCUGCUUUGGUUUGUUCUGAGACAGGGUCUCACUCUAGCCCAGGCUGGCCUCAAACUCAGAGAUCUGCUUGCCUCUGCCUCCCAAGUAGUGGGAAGAAAGGUGUGCACCACCGUGCCCAGAAAGCCAGCAUUGGUGCGCCUGGAGCGCACCUGUAGCUACAAGGAACUUCCAAGGCGACCCUCCCGGACUUUUAAAUUUCAAGUCCUGAGCUCUGCCCC